rnacentral:lncRNA from 1 species
AUGGACAGGAGCACGGGGGUAAGCCUGGAGCAACCCAAAGGGUGGCGUUGGGCAGCUGAGCGGGACGUCUCUAGGACAGGAUGGGAUGGGAUGGGACAGGACAGGAUGGUUUGGGAUGGGCAGAGCAUUGCUGCCUGGGGGCAAGCACCCACGGGGCAGGCAGCAGUGAGGGUGAGGAUGAUGAAGAGGAGGCAGCACGCCCGCUCACCCCACCGACACCACAGCACUUCGGCACCAUUUAGGAAGCCGGUGCCAGCUCUGGGGGUGCUCGCAGUCCCCCCAGCUCCAUGCCCCCAUCCCCAAGGAGCUGCUCCCUGUGUGCUGGCACAGCCGCCAGCUUCCAGCACCAACCCUAGCCCCGUCCUGCACCCCCAGAGAAGCCCCCAUCCCACAGCCAAUGCCCAGCACCACUCGUGCCCCGCAGGGCAGGAGGGCGAGGGAUGGGCAGCGGAGCCUUCCUCGCUCCGGGGAGCCCGAGAGGACAAACGAGAGAGGAAAAGCAGGGCAAGAGGAGGGCGAGCUGGGGCGGGGGGCGCAGGGGGGGGCGAGCCCCGGCUCCGGUGCAGCGUGGGCGGAGGAGGUGGAGGCCUGACCCCUCCGCCGAGGUUGCCUUCGCCAUCGAUCCCUGCUGCACUCAGGCUCAUUACGGCCGGGGAGCUGCUGCGAGCGGCUGGCGGAGGAGACAGACGAGAGGGGGGGGGGGGGAGAGCGCUCUCCGUGGCUCCCUGGAUCGUAUUAAAUAUUUACUUUGUUUUGUUUUGUUUUUUUCCCAGCUAUAUUGAUCAGAGAUGGGGAAGGGGGGUGCGCUCAGAUGCUGGGAGGGGAAGAGCAGAGGCAAUGGCUGGGCUGCCAGACGGGGACGGACCCUGCGGGCGCGCCGCACCCACGGGUGCCAUUCCCCAUCGCCACCCAAAGCACCCCCAAGCACCCCCAGCUUGGUUCGAGGCCACCACCAGCACCAGGAGGGGCUGCAGUGGGGCAGCUCCCCCCCCCCACAGCACACCCCAGCCCCAUCCCAAGGAGGGGAUGCUCGGCUCCAUGGGGGUGCCCCCCUUGGACCGGGCCCCCCGCAACCAGGCCGGGUCCAGCGGCCGUGCAGCCGGCGCUGUUUCUAUUUCAAGAGGAGCUCUGCUGGAAAAGGAACAAAAGCAGAGGGGAAGCUAUAAAUAG